rnacentral:rRNA from 1 species
CCUACGGGAGGCUGCAGUGAGGAAUAUUGGUCAAUGGGCGCGAGCCUGAACCAGCCAAGUCGCGUGAGGGAAGACGGUCCUAUGGAUUGUAAACCUCUUUUGUCGGGGAGCAAAAGACGCCACGCGUGGCGUUCCGAGAGUACCCGAAGAAAAAGCAUCGGCUAACUCCGUGCCAGCAGCCGCGGUAAUACGGAGGAUGCGAGCGUUAUCCGGAUUUAUUGGGUUUAAAGGGUGCGUAGGCGGAAUGCCAAGUCAGCGGUAAAAUGGCGGGGCUCAACCUCGCUCCGCCGUUGAAACUGGCGUUCUUGAGUGGGCGAGAAGUAUGCGGAAUGCGUGGUGUAGCGGUGAAAUGCAUAGAUAUCACGCAGAACUCCGAUUGCGAAGGCAGCAUACCGGCGCCCGACUGACGCUGAGGCACGAAAGCGUGGGGAUCGAACAGGAUUAGAUACCCGAGUAGUC